rnacentral:rRNA from 1 species
CUCCAUUAGUGCUUAGCGGCGGACGGGUGAGUAACACGUGGGCAACCUGCCCUGCAGAUCGGGAUAACUCCGGGAAACCGGUGCUAAUACCGAAUAGUUUGCGGCCUCUCAUGAGGCUGCACGGAAAGACGGUUUCGGCUGUCACUGCAGGAUGGGCCCGCGGCGCAUUAGCUAGUUGGUGAGGUAACGGCUCACCAAGGCCACGAUGCGUAGCCGACCUGAGAGGGUGAUCGGCCACACUGGGACUGAGACACGGCCCAGACUCCUACGGGAGGCAGCAGUAGGGAAUCUUCCGCAAUGGACGAAAGUCUGACGGAGCAACGCCGCGUGAGUGAAGAAGGUUUUCGGAUCGUAAAACUCUGUUGUGAGGGAAGAACAAGUACCAACUAACUACUGGUACCUUGACGGUACCUCACCAGAAAGCCACGGCUAACUACGUGCCAGCAGCCGCGGUAAUACGUAGGUGGCAAGCGUUGUCCGGAAUUAUUGGGCGUAAAGCGCGCGCAGGCGGUCCUUUAAGUCUGAUGUGAAAGCCCACGGCUCAACCGUGGAGGGUCAUUGGAAACUGGGGGACUUGAGUGCAGAAGAGGAAAGUGGAAUUCCACGUG